rnacentral:rRNA from 1 species
AGCGAACGCUGGCGGCAGGCUUAACACAUGCAAGUCGAACGGGCAUCUUCGGAUGUCAGUGGCAGACGGGUGAGUAACACGUGGGAACGUACCCUUCUGUUCGGAAUAACUCAGGGAAACUUGAGCUAAUACCGGAUACGCCCUUGUGGGGAAAGGUUUACUGCCGAAGGAUCGGCCCGCGUCUGAUUAGCUUGUUGGUGGGGUAACGGCCUACCAAGGCGACGAUCAGUAGCUGGUCUGAGAGGAUGAUCAGCCACACUGGGACUGAGACACGGCCCAGACUCCUACGGGAGGCAGCAGUGGGGAAUAUUGGACAAUGGGCGCAAGCCUGAUCCAGCCAUGCCGCGUGAGUGAUGAAGGCCUUAGGGUUGUAAAGAUCUUUUGUCCGGGACGAUAAUGACGGUACCGGAAGAAUAAGCCCCGGCUAACUUCGUG